UUCCCAGUGGCACCUCAAGGUGAUCUCAUGUUCUGCAACACCGCACCAGUCUCCCUAAAUUGUUGCCCAUUAUUCCAGGCCCUGCCCCAUUGCAAAAUCUUCUCUCCAGACUGCCAAAGGAGCUUGCAGAUAUACAGGUGCAGCACAGGAGUUGUCACACGCUCAUUGACACAAAGCAUGGAGUGUAUAAAAGCACUAAAUCAGAGAAAAGAGCACCCUGGGAACAUCUGCUCAACUUUUAUUUUUCCUGUUCCAGGGAAGAAAGAAGUCCUACAGGCUUGGAACAAUGUUUUGGG